AUGUGGAAUCUGCAGCUGAUGGCGAAUUACUGUACCUGUCAUUAUUAUUCAGAACCAACACCAGGUUGUUCAGGCAUACAGUUACCUACAGCCAGCAGCACCCCUAAAUCCAAUGAAAAAGAAAUAACUGCAGAAAAAGGAAGAAGUGUCACUAGCACCAAAGGGAAGGGAGCAGGAAAAGGAAAUAGAAAAAGAAAGCUGACGAUGUGUUUUUGGAGUCUAUGUCUAGACUAUUGAAAGAAGUCUGAUGAC